UGGAUGUAGGGGUGUCAAUGAGCUAAACAUGAGCUGGCUCGUUAAAGUAUCGAAUCGAAAAAUUCAGCUCUUGUCCGACUCGUUAAAAAAUAAACCGAGCACGAGCUGGCUUACGAGCUGAUCAAUGAACAAUAAGUUAAAUGGAUUAGAUUGGAUAUAUAUAAAAAAUAAAUUUAUAAAAUCUUAUCCAUUAAACUUUAAUCUAAUGAUUGAAAAAUUCAGCUCGUAUUCGGCUUGUUUACUAAAUGAUUGAGUGAUUUGAUCUCAAACUCAUUUCGAGGCGAACACGAGUUGACUCACGAACAACGAGCUGGAUUGAGAACCCUACAUGGAUGGACCCAAACACAAGUAUACACCGGC
rnacentral:lncRNA from 1 species